rnacentral:rRNA from 1 species
GACGAACCGUGCAAACGUUGUUCGGAAUCACUGGGCUUAAAGGGCGCGUAGGCGGACCAGCAAGUCGGGGGUGAAAUCUUUCAGCUCAACUGGAAAAGGGCUUCCGAUACUGUUGGUCUCGAGGGAGGUAGGGGUCGGGGGAACUGGUGGUGGAGCGGUGAAAUGCGUAGAUAUCACUAGGAACGCCGGUGGCGAAAGCGCCCGACUGGACCUCUUCUGACGCUGAGGCGCGAAAGCCAGGGGAGCAAACGGG